rnacentral:misc_RNA from 1 species
GCCACAGAAUCUAUAAAAGUCCGGAAAACCUUGUAGUCGAGCAUUCUCACGAAUUGUAAGUACCCUAUCUUGAAGGGGAUGCAAAAUAAUCUGAUUGUGAGGUUCUGCUCUGGUAACAACUGUUGGAACAGUCACAUCCCACCACAGUCGACCAAAUGGUUUGGGUGAUUUUCCAUCAACAAAGGACAUUGCAUACUCAGGAACCAAGGGAUU